UACGUAGGUGGCAAGCGUUGUCCGGAAUUACUGGGCGUAAAGGGCGUGUAGGCGGCCUAUCAAGUCAGACGUGAAAUCCCGAGGCUUAACCACGGGACUGCGUUUGAAACUGAUAGGCUUGAGGAUCGGAGAGGGCAGUGGAAUUCCCAGUGUAGCGGUGAAAUGCGUAGAUAUUGGGAGGAACACCAGUGGCGAAGGCGACUGCCUGGACGACACCUGACGCUGAGGCGCGAAAGCUAGGGGAGCAACAGGG
rnacentral:rRNA from 1 species